rnacentral:rRNA from 1 species
CCUGGCUCAGAUUGAACGCUGGCGGCAUGCCUUACACAUGCAAGUCGAACGGCAGCACGGGAGCUUGCUCCUGGUGGCGAGUGGCGAACGGGUGAGUAAUACAUCGGAACGUACCCAGGAGUGGGGGAUAACGUAGCGAAAGUUACGCUAAUACCGCAUAUUCUGUGAGCAGGAAAGCGGGGGAUCGCAAGACCUCGCGCUCUUGGAGCGGCCGAUGUCGGAUUAGCUAGUUGGUGAGGUAAAAGCUCACCAAGGCGACGAUCCGUAGCAGGUCUGAGAGGAUGAUCUGCCACACUGGGACUGAGACACGGCCCAGACUCCUACGGGAGGCAGCAGUGGGGAAUUUUGGACAAUGGGGGCAACCCUGAUCCAGCCAUGCCGCGUGAGUGAAGAAGGCCUUCGGGUUGUAAAGCUCUUUCGGCGGGGAAGAAAUGGCAACGGCUAAUAUCCGUUGUUGAUGACGGUACCCGCAUAAGAAGCACCGGCUAACUACGUGCCAGCAGCCGCGGUAAUACGUAGGGUGCGAGCGUUAAUCGGAAUUACUGGGCGUAAAGCGUGCGCAGGCGGUUUCGUAAGACAGACGUGAAAUCCCCGGGCUCAACCUGGGAACUGCGUUUGUGACUGCGAGGCUAGAGUACGGCAGAGGGGGGUAGAAUUCC